CGGCGGACGGGUGAGUAGCGCGUGGGUAACCUGCCCUAUACAGGGGGAUAACAGUUAGAAAUGAUUGCUAAUACCGCAUAAGCGCACGGAGCCGCAUGGCGCUGAGUGAAAAACGAUAGUGGUAUAGGAGGGACCCGCGUCUGAUUAGGUAGUUGGUGAGGUAACGGCCCACCAAGCCGACGAUCAGUAGCCGACCUGAGAGGGUGACCGGCCACAUUGGGACUGAGACACGGCCCAAACUCCUACGGAAGGCAGCAG
rnacentral:rRNA from 1 species